CCACCGCGGUUUUGAAGCUCA
rnacentral:misc_RNA from 1 species